GACAGAGGGUGCAAACGUUGUUCGGAAUUACUGGGCGUAAAGGGCUCGUAGGUGGCCAACUAAGUCAGACGUGAAAUCCCUCGGCUUAACCGGGGAACUGCGUCUGAUACUGGAUGGCUUGAGUUUGGGAGAGGGAUGCGGAAUUCCAGGUGUAGCGGUGAAAUGCGUAGAUAUCAAGCGGAACACCAGUGGCGAAGGCGAGUCCCUGGACAACUCCUGACACUGAGGCACGAAAGCUAGGGGAGCAAACAGG
rnacentral:rRNA from 1 species